GAUGAACGCUGGCGGCGUGCUUAACACAUGCAAGUCGAACGAGAAUCAAUGGAUCAAGACUUCGGUCAAGUGAAGUUGAGGACAGUGGCGGACGGGUGAGUAACGCGUGAGGAACCUGCCUCGGAGUGGGGAAUAACAGUUGGAAACAGCUGCUAAUACCGCAUGAUGCAUACGGAUCGCAUGGUCUGUAUGCCAAAGAUUUAUCGCUCUGAGAUGGCCUCGCGUCUGGUUAGCUAGUUGGCGGGGUAACGGCCCACCAAGGCCCAGAUCAGUAGCCAGCCUGAGAGGUUGGCCGGCCGCAUGGGGACUGAGACAGGGCCCAGACUCCUAGGGGGGGCAGCAGUGGGGAAAAUUGGGCAAUGGGCGCAAGCCUGACCAAGCAACGCCGCGUGAAGGAAGAAGGCUUUCGGGUUGUAAACUUCUUUUGUCAGGGACGAACAAAUGACGGUACCUGACGAAUAAUCCACGGCUAACUACGUGCCAGCAGCCGCCGUAACAC
rnacentral:rRNA from 1 species